rnacentral:tRNA from 1 species
UGUAUGUAGCUCAGCGGUGGAGCGCUCACCUGGCACGUGGGGGGGCUUGGGUUCAAUCCUCAGCAUCACAU